GAUGAAGAACGCAGCGAAAUGCGAUAAGUAAUGUGAAUUGCAGAAUUCAGUGAAUCAUCGAAUCUUUGAACGCACCUUGCACUCCUUGGUAUUCCGAGGAGUACGCCUGUUCGAGUGUUAUGAAGCUCUCAAAACGCAAUUGGCUUAAAACCUGAUUGUUGUUUUGGAUUUGAACUUUGCCGUGUUAUAACGGCUGGUUUUAAAAGUAUUAGCUGGUACUAGAACGAAUUGGUUCUACUCAACGUGAUAAUUAUCUGAUCGUUGAGGACAUUCCUUUCACGAGGAAUGGCCAUAGUAAAUUCAAUGGACUGCUUCUAAUCUGGCUUUAAUUCUUUAUUGGAUUAACCACUUUUCAAAUCUGACCUCGAAUCAGGUGGGACUACCCGCUGAACUUAAGCAUAUCAAUAUGCGGAGGA
rnacentral:misc_RNA from 1 species